GGUAGUGUAGUUCAAGUAGUAGAGCUGUUGCCUAGUAAGCAAGAGGCACUGAGUUCAAAGCUCAGGACUGCCA
rnacentral:tRNA from 1 species